UGGAGCUAUCAGCUGACUUAAGGCCCAAUAAAUCUGAAAAAAUGUGUUAUCAGAUCACAAGUCUAACACAACAUAAUGCAAAUGGGGUUGAAACAAAUGUACAACAUCAUUCGGACUAAAAACAGGCACUACAUUUGUUCCCAUGACCUAAUUUUGUUCCCAAUACCACAAAUCUGGAACUAGUUGUAACAACACCAUGUUCUGCAAUGCCUUUAUGCUCAAGACCUAAACAAGACACUUUAAAACAGAAAGAGCCAGCAAAGAGCAGAACAAUUCAUUAUUUAAAAAAAAAUAGUGUUAAUAUGAUUUGUUUAGAAGUCAAAUUCACAAAGGUGAAUAACCUGCCAAGAACCUGCCAGGGUCAAGUUUCUAUGGAAGCCCAUUUCCGCCACAGAACAAAACAAAUAAAACGGUAUUUUCAACUUUUUUCCUUGCAAUUCCUUUUUUUCCUGUUUCAAUUUCCUUGCAAAAAAAAAAAAAAAACGGAUGCAAGAAAAGAGGGAGAACUGUUUUUAAUGUAAACUCGUUGAAUUGUGAGCAAUUCUUCGAAAAAAAAAAAGAAAAAGUCAGGACUCUAAGAUUUCAAGUGUCAAAAUUUCAAUAUAUAAACAAAAAUAAAUAAAUAAAAAAGGCAGAAUUGCAAUGUAUAAACUCAGAAUUUAAUAAUUUGUACAAAAAAGUCUGAACUGUGAGAUGUAAACUUAUAGAUAAAAAUUAGCAUUAAAAAUUUUUUAAAAAUCCAUCGCAGAAUCGGCUUCCAUGUGUUUCAGCUCAAAAUUGAAAAAUAAAUUUAUUUUGCCAAAAGAAUAUUAAUCCAUUAAGAGUUUUUACAUAGGUAAAACAAAAAAAAAAAAAAAAGAAACGAAUAAGAAAAUAAGUACUGCCCUAAAAAUAGGCUUACAGUUAUUUUUAUUAUUUUGGGGUAAAAUGUGACAUAUUUUGCGAUGAGUAUUUAUGUCUUAAGAUAUACAAACUAGCAAAAGCAAUUUUCGUCCCCCCACCCCUCAUCUGCAUUCCUCCCCUCCUCCUCCUCUCCUGUGUUUAUUACCCAGCAUUCCUGUCCCUGGUCCUUAACGCGUCGUUUAAAUAAAAGUAAUGCCAUGCUGUAAAGUGAAAGUCACAAAUCCAAACAUAAAUGCCCUAAAAUAGGCUUACAGUUAUUUUUAUUAUUUUGGGGUAAAAUGUGACAUAUUUUGCGAUGAGUAUUUAUGUCUUAAGAUAUACAAACUAGCAAAAGCAAUUUUCGUCCCCCACCUCAUCUGCAUUCCUCCCCUCCUCCUCCUCUCCUGUGUUUAUUACCCAGCAUUCCUGUCCCUGGUCCUUAACGCGUCGUUUAAAUAAAAGUAAUGCCAUGCUGAUUAGUUUGUCGCAUCGUAAAACUUUCUUUCUUUCACUUCUACCUCUUCCCCCUUCACGCUGCUGUUAAGAUCUUCACUGUCAAUGCUAAUGAAUAAAAUAUAUAUUACAUUUGUCAUUAAAUUAGUUUUUGUCUCUUGCACGGUCCGCAUGCAUUAGGAGCGCAGGGGCAGCCUAAGGACGGGGGAGGGGGAGGAGAAGGCCAUGUUGUCGUGCGAACGGUUGGGUCAUGUGAUAACGGUCACGUCUGCGAUACGAACUCGCUCCUUUGGUCCACAAGUACACUGUUCUGCACGUUCACAUCAACCAGAAACUACCACGUGUGUUUGUUGUGUGUAUGUUGUUGUGUGUGUGUGUGUGUGUGUGUGUGUGGUCCUUUCUGUCAGUUUUCACUGGGUUUCACAGAGAAUCACUGAAGCUUCGUUCCCAGCUUUCGUUGUCUGUUUCUGUAUGAGAAGACGACAAAAGAAAAGUGUAAGUCAAAAGUUUAAAAGGCACUUCUCACUAGGAUAAGGCAAUAAACAAGUUAGCCUAUAAUCUAACACGUCACCUAUGCUUAGCUUAUUUUAAAUACCAAAAUUUCAUUUAAUGCAAACCUGUCGCUGCAAGGUUUUCACACUAAAAAUAUGGAACAGUGACACACAGGAAGUGACAUCAUUAUGGAAUGACUCAUCUUCCCGUCAUAGACGAGUCUCUUAUCUCAUUUAAAUUUUUUUUCUUUCAAACAUUGUCAUGCUAACUGCAUUCAACAAGCUCAAACAGUCAAGCCUGCUAAUAAUGUUAUUUUGCAAAAAAUUCUAAAAUAUUUCUCUUUAAUUCAUGGAAUUUAUUAAAUUAACCCAUUAACCUUUAAGCUCACUAUAACCAAAAAUUAUGUCUAAAACUAGUUAGCCCCUAUAUAUUUGUAUUUUAUUAUAUAUAUAUAUAUAUAUAUAUAUAUAUAUAUAUAUAUAUAUAUAUAGUAUACUAACAUACACACACACACACACAAAUUGGGAU
rnacentral:lncRNA from 1 species